rnacentral:rRNA from 2 species
ACGUCUGAUGGAGCACGCCGCGUGAGUGAAGAAGGGUUUCGGCUCGUAAAACUCUGUUGUUAAAGAAGAACAUAUCUGAGAGUAACUGUUCAGGUAUUGACGGUAUUUAACCAGAAAGCCACGGCUAACUACGUGCCAGCAGCCGCGGUAAUACGUAGGUGGCAAGCGUUGUCCGGAUUUAUUGGGCGUAAAGCGAGCGCAGGCGGUUUUUUAAGUCUGAUGUGAAAGCCUUCGGCUCAACCGAAGAAGUGCAUCGGAAACUGGGAAACUUGAGUGCAGAAGAGGACAGUGGAACUCCAUGUGUAGCGGUGAAAUGCGUAGAUAUAUGGAAGAACACCAGUGGCGAAGGCGGCUGUCUGGUCUGUAACUGACGCUGAGGCUCGAAAGUAUGGGUAGCAAACAGGAUUAGAUACCCUGGUAGUCCAUACCGUAAACGAUGAAUGCUAAGUGUUGGAGGGUUUCCGCCCUUCAGUGCUGCAGCUAACGCAUUAAGCAUUCCGCCUGGGGAGUACGGCCGCAAGGCUGAAACUCAAAGGAAUUGACGGGGGCCCGCACAAGCGGUGGAGCAUGUGGUUUAAUUCGAAGCUACGCGAAGAACCUUACCAGGUCUUGACAUACUAUGCAAAUCUAAGAGAUUAGACGUUCCCUUCGGGGACAUGGAUACAGGUGGUGCAUGGUUGUCGUCAGCUCGUGUCGUGAGAUGUUGGGUUAAGUCCCGCAACGAGCGCAACCCUUAUUAUCAGUUGCCAGCAUUAAGUUGGGCACUCUGGUGAGACUGCCGGUGACAAACCGGAGGAAGGUGGGGAUGACGUCAAAUCAUCAUGCCCCUUAUGACCUGGGCUACACACGUGCUACAAUGGAUGGUACAACGAGUUGCGAACUCGCGAGAGUAAGCUAAUCUCUUAAAGCCAUUCUCAGUUCGGAUUGUA